GUCGAGAGGGUUCGGCCCUCGGCGUACUGCUCAGUAACACGUGGAUAACCUGCCCUAAGGAAGGGGAUAACCCCGGGAAACUGGGGAUAAUACCCUAUAGGUUACAGAUGCUGGAAUGCUCUGUAACCGAAAGUUCCGGCGCCUUAGGAUGGAUCUGCGGCCGAUUAGGUUGUUGUCGGGGUAACGGCCCAACAAGCCAGUAAUCGGUACGGGUUGUGGGAGCAAGAGCCCGGAGUUGGAUUCUGAGACACGAAUCCAGGCCCUACGGGGCGCAGCAGGCGCGAAAACUUUACAAUGCGGGCAACCGUGAUAAGGGAACCUCGAGUGCCUGUAUAUGCAGGCUGUCUGGGUGUCUAAAACACACCUAAAGAAAGGGCCGGGCAAGACCGGUGCCAGCCGCCGCGGUAAUACCGGCGGCUCGAGUGGUGGCCACUUUUAUUGGGCUUAAAGCGUUCGUAGCUGGGUUGUUAAGUCCCUUGGGAAAUCCGACAGCUUAACUGUCGGGCGUCUAAGGGAUACUGGCCCUCUUGGAACCGGGAGAGGUGAGGGGUACUUCGGGGGUAGGAGUGAAAUCCUGUAAUCCUCGAGGGACCACCUGUGGCGAAGGCGCCUCACCAGAACGGCUUCGACAGUGAGGGACGAAAGCUGGGGGAGCAAACCGGAUUAGAUACCCGGGUAGUCCCAGCCGUAAACGAUGUGCGUUAGGUGUAUCGGUGACCACGAGUCACCGAGGUGCCGAAGGGAAACCGUGAAACGUA
rnacentral:rRNA from 1 species